GGAAGGCAAUUUGUCCUUAUUGUAGGUCUAUUGACAGAUCUUUCUGCUGUUGAGAGUUCUAAGAAAUGAAACUCCUUAGCAUUUGGUUUCCUGUUUCUCGCCCUUGAUUUUUAAUAUUUAGCCGCAUGAUUUGGCCAUUAUUGCCAUCUUUCAGCAUUCCUAUCAAAUUUAGAAAGGUAACAGCGCCAUUGGUAGAGGUUCAUGAACUUCCAUAUGAUGGAAAAGUACAGCUCUGAAGCAUCAGCUCCACAGGAAACGCCAGAUUAGACGCACGUGCACGUGAUUUUUCAGUUAACCCCCAAAUCAGUCGUAGCCUAUGUAUGAAAAUGAGAAGAAAUGUAUGUGUGACCAACCAGUAAUUGCGGUCUGCGGACAUAUAACAGGAAAAAUUUACACCGUUGAAGUACCCAAAGACAAUGGCUUGGAUAAUGGAUAAAUGCAAUGAUAUCGUUUUGAUUCGUAAAAUCUGCUUUCCUUUCCCUUCAAGGGGCGAGAAAAAUAAUAAAGAAACAAUGUGUUGCGAAAGAAACAGACAAGUUAAUUUAUUUGACAGACUGGGAAAUUGCAAGAACACGUACAGUAGCUGUUGUUUAGUUUCAACAAAAUGACAAUUUUAAACACUAUAAUAUAGAUAAAAAAAAAUUUAAAUAAAUAUUUUUUAAGGUGGCAACAUACAAUUUCUUGAAAAGUGGAAAGACACAUUUCCGACC